UAGCGACGAGAGUUGUAGGCGGAUCUCUCGUUGAGUGGGAGUGCUAGCGGGCGGGGCGCUCGUUGAGUGGCAGGGCUAGUAGGCGGCGCCGGCUCGUCUCAUCUCAACGAGGGAGGCCGACCAGCGGCCUGUAGUUCCCGCCGUUGCCCGCAGGCCGCGCUGUUAUCGCCCACCCGGCUCCACCUCACUCGGCUUCUGUCUGUCUGACGGUGCGCAGCGGGAAAUGAGGAGCGACGGAUCAGCGGGACUUACGCGACGGCGGCAGUGAGCCGGCUCGGCUGGGCGACCAUGGCGGCGGAGGGCCCAGGCCUCGGUUUGGCGGGUGGUGGCCCCAGCGUGGCCGUUGGAGCGGCGCCGCUGGCCCGGAGUCUGGAACGGGCGCUGGCCGAGGCCGCGGGCUCGGGGACCCUGGGCUUGAGCGGCCGCAAACUGAAGGAGUUCCCGCGGAGCGCGGCCGGCCACGACCUCAGCGAUACGGUGCAAGCAGAUCUGUCGAAGAAUAGACUGAAUGAAGUUCCGCUGGAAGUAUGCCACUUUAUCUCCCUGGAGACAUUGAACCUGUAUCACAACUGCAUCAAAGUCAUUCCUGAUACAGUCAUCAAUCUGCAGGCAUUGAUGAAUUUAAACUUGAGUCGAAAUCAACUUUCUACAUUGCCAUUGUGCAUCUGUGCCCUUCCUCUUAAAGUGUUGGUAGUCAGUAACAAUAAGCUGGUGUCGCUUCCAGAAGAUAUUGGACAGUUGAAGUGUUUAAUGGAACUGGACGUGAGUUGUAAUGAAAUUACAACUUUGCCACAACAAAUGGGACAACUUCAGUCGCUCAGAGAGUUGAACGUCAGACGAAAUUAUCUGCAGAUUUUGCCAGAGGAGCUGGCAGACCUCCCUCUUGUGAAAUUAGACUUUUCCUGUAAUAAGAUUGUAUCGAUACCAAUCUGCUACAGAAACAUGAAGCAUCUACAGAAUAUACAAAUGGAUAACAAUCCACUGCAGUCUCCGCCAGCACAGAUCUGCAUAAAGGGCAAAGUGCACAUAUUCAAGUACCUGAACAUAGAGGCGUGUAGAAUUGAUAAGACUGCAGAAUGCCUUUAUCAACCGUCAAUGGAAAAGGCCCCUGUUCCACAACGUGUUUGUGGGAGCAUUGAAGACAUUUAUCCAGACAAAAAACAAGAUUUUGACUCUGGGAUUGGAAGUGAUAAUGGGGAUAAACGCCUCUCUGCAACUGAACCUUCAGAUGAAGACACAGCUAGUCUGACCUUUCAAAUGGCGCAUAUCUCAGAGGAAGAGCACUUGAAUAAACAGGAGGAAUAUUUAAAUGUUGGAACAAUGAAAGUGCAAUCUGAUCAGGAGCCGAAGGAUGUGCUGCGGCAUAAUGUCGUGGGUGAUGGCUUGAGUUCUGACUUUAGGACAUACAUGAAGGGACGGGAGCCUGAGGAACCGCUGAGAAUUGAGGAGGAUUCAAGUUGGACAAUAGAACAAAUGCCAAACACAGAUCAUCAUCUGGACACUGAAGCAGAGGUAGCAGAACAUACGAGUUCUCCCGAAGGCAUUGUCCAGGAACAGCAGAGGUUGAAUCUGAAUUUUCAGGAUAUUAGUGGAGUGGAUCUUUAUCCUUUGCAAAUGGAUAAAACAGCCUGUUUGAAACUUCAGACGUCACCAAUAAAUGGUGAGACACCAAAAAUCAACCCUUCAGCAAAGUUCUCCAGUUACCAGGAUCUUGCCUCGUUUUGUGUAGAUGAGGAUUCUCCAUCUGAGAAAGAAAGUCGCAUGGCAGAGCUGGAGUUUCAGAGGAAACGUGAGAUCAUGCUGGAGAAAGCAAGGCACGAAGCUCAGGUUGCAUCCCAACGGCUGGAAUGGCAGAAGUCCAAGCAGACUACUAAUGAGAGUGGGGAGAAGAAUGAAUCACAAAAUGAGGAUGAAGAGAAGACUCCCACUGUCAGACACACAUUGUCCCCUGUUGCAUCACCCACGGCUCCCUUUGGACUGAAGCCAAGAUCUGUCCAAGCAAACUCUUCUUUGGCCUCCCCUCCUCCCUUCUUCAGAAAUUUGACACAGACCCACAUAGAGGAGCUCACCACCGCCAGUACCCCACAGGAAGAAGACAGAAGUCAUGCUUUCUUUCGGUCAUUGCGGCAUAUUGACUCCAUGGAUCCUCAAUUUACCAUCCGUAGAAAAAUGGAGCAGAUGAGAGAGGAAAAGGAACAUAUAGAACAACUCCGGGAGAAUAUUGAAAACAGACUGAAAAUUGAUCUACCAGAAGAAAUUGGAGCAGCCUUGAUGGAUGGAGUUGUUCUGUGUCACUUAGUCAAUCACAUCCGGCCGAGAUCCGUACUCAGUAUACACGUUCCAUCACUUGCAGUGCCUAAGCUAAGCAUGGCAAAAUGCAGGAGAAACGUGGAAAACUUCCUGGAAGCUUGCAGGAAAAUGGGUGUACCUGAGGCUGACCUCUGCUCUCCGUACGACAUCCUGCAGUCGGACGUCCACUCCAUUCAAAGGACUGUUGCCGCACUGCUGGCACACAGGGAGAAAGUCCAACAGCCAACACCAGCCUUUUUCACUUGGGAUAUGUUUGGCUUUUGUGUAUUCCACGCUUUCUUUUUAGUGCUGCUAUAUAUUACUUACAACUGGAGCGUUCUGGUUUAGAACAUUGCAUGUGCAUAUAUCCUCGCACCGUGUUUAUAAUCCAAUUGCAGGAGAAGCUAUGUUUGCCCCAUCACAUAUUGGAAGGAAAAGGGUUGCUGAAAGUAAGUAUGACUGUUCAAGCACUGUUGGACUGGGCCGCGAGCAGACCCCCAUUGUUUCUGUGAAUCCAGAGCCCCAGGGCUGCCACCUCCUGACCACAAGCAGCACAGCCGCAAGCCCAGGGCGAGGACACGACGUACAAAAGGCGGACACUUUUCCUCAGCUGACGUGUGGAGCCACUCGUAACGUGUUUUAAAAGCAUAACUAAAAAACUACAUAUGUCACAGUAUUUAAUCAAUGCAUUAACUUUGCAACUACAGUUAGUUACAGCUUUUGCAGAAGUGAGGAAAAGCCAAAUUCCUAAGUAUGUUUUAAUGUAUUAAAGAAACACAAUUUGGUUGUGUUAAUUUGUUUAGUUGCUAUGAUAUUACAAUGCUUUUGAUCGUGAGGAAGUUUAGAACAUGGUCAUAAGUUAUUUAUAUUAUUUAUUCAGGAGAUGUUUUACCCAUCCAUUGAGAUGAAGAUUGUAAAUUUGAAAGACUUGCAGCUAAAACUGAUUUUUAAAGAUUGGAGCAAUUUCAUUUUACUGUGGCAGUUUAGUCAUUUUAGUUAACACUUGAUUUCAUCUGUUGAAUAAUUUUAACUUCCUGAAAGUGUGCUGGUGAUUUGUAUGUGAAAUUAUCUGGUAAGAGAGAAGGGCAGUCAUGAACUCAUCUGACGCAGUGUCUGGGAAGCAGUCUCGUCUGUAUGAUGGUGUCUCAGGCUGCCGUCAGUACAUUUACCAACGAAGGUUUAGUACAAUCUAAGCAGAAUUGACCGACAGUUUGUCCACACUCGAUUAGUUCCUCCGGGUGCUUCAUUCCCUUUAACACAUUCCUGAUCAUGCAUCUCUGGUUCAUUGAGACUGGUGAGUUGAGAUUAGAAAUAGAAUCAGAUUGAUGUUUGACUUUCCAAAGGGAUCUGGCAAUUGGGGAGAGGAAUUUACUGCUCAGCUGAGUGAUCUAAGGUAACUACGUAUCAGGAGCGGGGAGAGUCAGGUUGUUUCCUCUGCAGGGAAUUAGUGGAGUGUCUCCUAAUCCAAUGUGCCUUGUUGCUCUGAUAUUUGACCAGAUGAAAUACUCCAGAAUCUUAAAGUUUACAUUAAAAGGCCAUUUCAUUCGAUAGUAUUAUCGAUGUUAGCAUUUUAUAUCGUCAGAAUACCAAAAACUCCGUCCAGAUUAGCCCUGUCACAAUGCCUGCGGUCUGGUGCGACGGUGAACUGAGUCUCUCUACUUUCCUACAUUUAAUCCAUGACCUUGUCCUGCAACAAUAAAACUCACGCUGACCACUCGCCUUCCUACUGCACUUGCUGGUGGUGCAUUGUGUAAAUAUCUAACCAGUUGUACUGAAUUCAGUGUGAGCUGCAGGAACUGACUGAAAUUUUAUAAGCCAAACCCAAAUGUUAGUUAUUUUAUAUUGCCAAUUUAGGGGACCACUUAAAAAUGUAAAAGUACUCAGGAAUCGUACCCUACCAAACGACGUUGAGUUGCAAGUUGUUUAUGUGGUGGUCUUGGAGAGCGAGUUCACAUGAGGUGGUGAAUGGGAAGCUUGGCCUUCCCGAACACUGCAGUUAACACAAAUGAAGCUGUGUCCCCGACUGCCACCCAAUAGGUUUACUCACUGUAAGCUGAUUGCACCUCAACACACAGAGGAAAGACAGAGCUCACAUUAAGAGAGCACGAAGAUGAAAGGGAGAGCUGUACUCUCUGAGGGUACCAGCUGCCAGGAAUAGUGGCCGAUUGGGAUUGCUGCAAAUGGGAAGGGACUGUGGGAGCAGUGCAUGUAUCUGCUGAGCUACUGGGGCAGGUAGCUCAUCUCUCCCAACAGCUGCAUGACUAGCUGCCCACACACCUGAACGCAAUUGUAUGUCCAGCUCCUUUCUCAGUGUGAUCUUUUUGUCCAAUUUGUUCUAAUAAACAUGCACAUGAAGUAAAUGCAUCGAAUAUACUCCACCACAUUUCUCUUCAUAUGUAAUAUGAUUGCUUUAUAUUAUCAGAGUGAUGCACUAAUCUGAUUGAUUUGCUGUCAACUUCUUGUGGCGUGAAGCCUGGGAACUGACAGAACUGGAGCUCUUAGACCAGAACAGGGGAGGUCAGUGGGCCGACCAUCCUCACCCGAAGAACGUUAACAUGGGAGAAGUUUAAUGGACGAGAAUAUUAAAAGAUUCAACCGCCAUGUUUAUUUAGACAGAAAAUUCACGUUGUAGAAUAGUAUUGGAAUAGGAUAAUAAAAGAAAGAGUGAUGGGUGUGGUUUCAACUUAGGUAUUUCGUCUCAGAGAUUGUUUCCCGGGGUCGCAGUGACAGGUCCGUUAUUCAUGAGUGGUUUGGUGAAAGUGUUGGCAGGACAGCGAAGGGGGGUGAGGAAGAUGUGAGGGGCGAGGUGGGGGCAGGCCCACGGGACCAUCAAUGCUGGUAGGGGUGCAAGGAAACGAGUGUAAUUCCACCUCUUGCUUGUUAGAUCAGCUUGUUAGUGUGACGUGGAACUCUCUGUGUUUCCCACGAGUAUUUUUCUUCGUAUCGCCAUUAGCAAGUAACAUGUCGGGCAGAGAGGGGUAAAGUGGGUUGCAUUAAACAGAAUUAACAAUAGCCACGCAAGAGGCGAGGUUGCUGUGCAGGGUUAGUCAGCAGCACUGUCUCUGCCACUUGUCUGCUGACACUGGCGAGAGCACAAUCCUCGGCCUGGGCGCUAGGAGUGAGAUGUACGUGGAGUGAGAGUGUCGGCAGCGGGUGCUGCAGGAGGAGACUUGAAUGGGAACCCCCACGAGAAUUACAGGAACCUUCUUCCAAUUAUCCCCAGGCACAAGAUUACUAAACCAUUUCACGAUCACAAAUAUAAGUAAACCGUAGUCUCCCGAGGUAGCUGCUUAUGAAAAGCUAUGUUUACAUGUGAGAGGAAAGGUGCCAUCAAGCAGGAAGAUUUGUCAGCAAAACACAGUAAAUUGCUGGAGUAACUCAGCGGUCAGGCCGCGUCUGUGGAUGGAAUGGACAGACAACGUUUGGGAUCGGGGCCGUACCUCAGAAGACGUCUUUACCCGACACACCGUCAGUCCAUUUCCCUCCACAGAUGCUGCCUUGCCCACUGAGUUCAUCCAGCUGCUUGUAUUUUUUUUGCUCAAGAUUCCAGCGUCUGCAGUUUCGUGUUUCCUGGAAAAUCUGUUAGUUGUAUCGUCAGUAUGACAAAGUGCAUUCAAAAAUUAUGUUUUCUUGAAAGAAACAAAUCGGAAUGGGAGCAUUGUUCAAUCAUUUGUUCAGUUUCACGCCCAUGUGUUUCUGUUCUCCUGCAAUCACAUCCAGAUUACAAGACCUACCCUGAACAAGAUUGCUCACUGCAGCUUUAGGAGGGUAGAAACAAAACAGGACCGUAGAGGACUGCAGAAGGAACUAUGCACUCAAUUGCUCUUCUAUUAUCUUCGGUAAUAGAAGGCAAAACGAUCUUUGUUUAAAAAAUGCAAACUGUUUUGUACCAGAAGCAGAAAGUCUAGUGGAAGCACAAUUGGUAGAUGAGUAACGACUUGCAUCUUCAAGCUGCAACGUGCUGUGGAAAAUGCAAUUCACCGAGUGAUUUAUGCACCUGUAUUGUAUAUAGACGACUUUGUGCUUUUUUUAAUUUACAGGUUUUGAGCAUUUGCUGUUAAAAUGACAUUGUGUAAUCGAUCAGUUUUUUGUUGUUCACGGCUGGCUUUCAGCAUGUAUUGUGUAAAAAAAGAUUCUUGUUCUAUCUUAUUAUUUUGUAAGUUUUAGUAAGUCAUCGAUUUUCGGGAAACCCAGUUCCACGUGUAUGGCCAAAAGAUCUUCCGAUGUCUGUAUAUAGUUUGGGGAACGCAUUUUGCAUGUGCGGCCUUUGAUGUUAUCUAAGCCAUUGUACAUAGUGUAUAUUCUGUGGAAAUCACUUCUAUCGUAACAUAAAUAAUAAAGUCAUGUUAUUUGCA